GUCUGAAUAUGGGGGGACCAUCCUCCAAGGCUAAAUACUCCUGACUGACCGAUAGUGAACCAGUACCGUGAGGGAAAGGCGAAAAGAACCCCGGCGAGGGGAGUGAAAAAGAACCUGAAACCGUGUACGUACAAGCAGUGGGAGCCUCUUAAUGGGGUGACUGCGUACCUUUUGUAUAAUGGGUCAGCGACUUAUAUUCUGUAGCAAGGUUAACCGAAUAGGGGAGCCGAAGGGAAACCGAGUCUUAACUGGGCGUUAAGUUGCAGGGUAUAGACCCGAAACCCGGUGAUCUAGCCAUGGGCAGGUUGAAGGUUGGGUAACACUAACUGGAGGACCGAACCGACUAAUGUUGAAAAAUUAGCGGAUGACUUGUGGCUGGGGGUGAAAGGCCAAUCAAACCGGGAGAUAGCUGGUUCUCCCCGAAAGCUAUUUAGGUAGCGCCUCGUGAAUUCAUCUCCGGGGGUAGAGCACUGUUUCGGCAAGGGGGUCAUCCCGACUUACCAACCCGAUGCAAACUGCGAAUACCGGAGAAUGUUAUCACGGGAGACACACGGCGGGUGCUAACGUCCGUCGUGAAGAGGGAAACAACCCAGACCGCCAGCUAAGGUCCCAAAGUCAUGGUUAAGUGGGAAACGAUGUGGGAAGGCCCAGACAGCCAGGAUGUUGGCUUAGAAGCAGCCAUCAUUUAAAGAAAGCGUAAUAGCUCACUGGUCGAGUCGGCCUGCGCGGAAGAUGUAACGGGGCUAAACCAUGCAC
rnacentral:rRNA from 1 species